AUUGAACAAGUAUGUUGGGGAGAGCGAAUCAGAAAUUAGGAAAUUAUUCAUCCGUGCACGCUCUAACUCCCCGUGCAUACUAUUUUUUGAUGAGGUAGAUGCAUUGAUAACAAAGAGAGGAAAGAGGGGGAUGGGUUGUUGAACGUAUCGUAAACCAGAUCAACGUCAAGGUGUUUAGGUUAUCGGAGCUACAAACAGAAUUGAUGUGAUAGAUGAUGCUGUUUUGCGGCCCGGUAGAUUUGGGAAGAGACAUCAUGUACCUUUACCUGGUCCUGAUGAACGGGUUUCAAUAUUAAAAGCACACGCUCGAAGCAAACCCAUCUCCUCAGGUGUUGAUUUGGAUGCACUAGCACGUCGAGAGGAGUGCAGCAAUCUCACUGGUGCCGACCUAGCA